CCAGCAGCCGCGGUAAUUCCAGCUCCAAUAGCGUCUAUUAAAGUUGUUGCAGUUAAAAAGCUCGUAGUUGAACUUCUGGCUGUGGCUCCAGCAGGCUUCGGUCGCUGGCGUCGCGGUCAUCCGCUUGGGAACUACGUUCGGACUUCACUGUUCGGCGUAAGGAACAGGCAUUUUACUUAGAAAAAAUUAGAGUGUUCAAAGCAGGCCUACGCUUGAAUACAUUAGCAUGGAAUAAUGGAAUAGGACUUUGGUGCUAUUUCGUUGGUUAAUGGGACCGAAGUAAUGAUUAAAAGGGACAGUUGGGGCCGUUUAUAUUUCGUUGUCAGAGGUGAAAUUCUUGGAUUUACGAAAGAUAAACUUCUGCGAAAGCAUUCGGCAAGGAUGUUUUCAUUGAUCAAGAACGAAAAU
rnacentral:rRNA from 1 species